GCCACGGGAGCCAGCCGUGCCACAAAGGAUCCACAGAGCCCCUCAGCAUCAGCAGGGCUGUCCCUAUCCUCUGCAGGUACAUAUGCCUUGCACAUUAAGGAGACAAGUUCCCCGGCUCAGGAAAAUGCCCCAGGACUGCACAAAGACCCCGUGUCAGGCCCGAGGGAUACAGCCGGGAGCUGAUAGAGACCUGCCUCUGUGGAGCUCACCAUCGCUACCUUCUACAUUCAGACACGACAUCCCUUUAUAGGGAGACGCCCCGAGCGAGCUGAGCCAGCCGAGCCGGGAGUGGCAAACGGGAGCCCGAACGCGAGGACGCCUGAGCGCGCGCCGGAGCAGGCGCUGGAGCCCGGGCCGGAGCCGCGCGGGGCUCAGCGUGCCGAGCGGCGGGAACGCGAACCCGCGUGGGCGCUCGGCCAGGAACAAGACCUGGGCCCGGGCCUGGGCCUGACGCGAGGUGGGGCGACAGCGGGGCUCUCGAGCGCCUAGGGACUAGGUAGGGGCGGGGAAGUAGGAGCAGCGCCACCCCCCCCUCCCCUCCCGGGCCGGCCCCGAGUUAGCCUCACCCACCAGAGGUCAGAGAA